GAGCUCAACAACAGCUGCAGGAGCGGGAGCUACUGCUGGCCAGCAGCGCAUGGUCAUGCCCCUCCGCCUCUACUUUGUCUGGCAGGCAGGAGGCACCAGAAAGUUUAAGCAAAAAAAAAAGUGCCCGUGACUUAUCAAUGUCUUGGCCGACGAGGGCGCCGAGAAUAUGUUUUUGGUCUGCUAGAGAAUUUGCCUCUUCAAAUGUUGUGUAAACCUUUUUGGAUGAGGGAAUAUUUUUUUAGAAUGUGCACAUAAGGUACUUCUCAGAGAACAUUUAAGGAUGGAGAUUUAUGCCCAUUUUGAUGGGAAAGGUGCUUCCAUGGACUUCUUAGACGGGGAUUGUGAGGAGAGACCGAGACAGAUGAGAGCUGGGUAGAGAAAUGGCGAGGGACGAAAUGCCACGAUCUGCAACCUGCUAACCAUUGUGGCUAAGGACGAAGGGGAAUCAUGUUAUGUCUAUCUUAAAAUAAGUUCGAGGAAUAAACCUUAUAAUGGGCCAUGGAAAGAUUCAUCAAGAAAUGAGAGAAGUGACUGAGACGAGAAAAGAUGACAUCGAAUUACACGCACCGAACGUCCGGACCAUGUGUCCGAUGGCUUGAUUAUGAUGUCUUCAUUGUAGGGAUUUCCUAUUCAUGUAUUAUUCAAAGUCAAGCUUAGUGAAUUGCACUAGUGCACAUGUGUUUCUGAAGCAGGGUUAUACCUAGAAUUAAAGACUAAGGAAGCUUGUCUUAAUUGGUGUCAUGGAGAUGUCAUGGAGAGAAUGGGUAUGUUCAGAACUUACAGUAGUGAUGACCUUUGUUGGUGGCUUCAGAUCUGUGGUAUCAUAUUUAUUGUGAAUAUCAAUUUUGCACUGAUCAUGACCAAGUAGAACAGAGAUAAAUGUCUCAUAAAAACUUCACAUGAGAUAUUUAGGCUGGUGUCGGUUCAGGUAUUAUAGUUUACCCAUUUGAAUAUACAAUAUUGUGGGAAUUUUCAUUUAGUUUCUCUUUUUUCUAUAAACAAUGCACCACUUUGAACCUCUGUUGUAUACGAUUCAUUUUGAGGAAUUCUGAGUCAUAUUUUCAUUAUACUUACUAUUGUUUAUCAACUAGAAAAGAAGGAUCUCCCAAUGUAGUAACGAAUACCAAACAUGGGAUACUUGCCAUGUCCGUGCUCAAUAUAAAGCAGCUUCCCUGGACAAUGAUGCUCUUGUCCUACUACCAUGGAAAUACUGAUAUGCUAAGCACUGCCCUUUAACCAUAAUUAUGGGUCUUAAAUAUUGACCACAAAGAAACAACAUUUUAAUGAUUGAUUGCUUCAGUGCCUAUUUUCUAGAGAUUUUUCAUGUUAUCUUGCAUAUUUUUUUCUUAUUUGUGAGUGUUGUGAUCAGCAAGGACUUCAUUGGGCUUAUUCGAAGAUCUUAUCUACUUUUACUCACCUGCUUCGUCUUACGAUUUUUUUAUUGCCUAAAUAAAAUUCAUAGGCCUCUCAAUUUGAUAUGUGCUCACUCUAAUUG